GAUGAACGCUGGCGGCGUGCCUAAUACAUGCAAGUCGAGCGAACGGACGAGAAGCUUGCUUCUCUGAUGCUAGCGGCGGACGGGUGAGUAACACGUGGAUAACCUACCUAUAAGACUGGGAUAACUUCGGGAAACCGUAGCUAAUACCGGAUAAUAUUUUGAACCGCAUGGUUCAAAAGUGAAAGACGGUCUUGCUGUAACUUAUAGAUGGAUCCCCGCUGCAUUAGCUAGUUGGUAAGGUAACGGCUUACCAAGGCAACGAUGCAUAGCCGACCUGAGAGGGUGAUCGGCCACACUGGAACUGAGACACGGUCCAGACUCCUACGGGAGGCAGCAGUAGGGAAUCUUCGGCAAUGGGCGAAAGCCUGACGGAGCAACGCCGCGUGAGUGAUGAAGGUCUUCGGAUCGUAAAACUCUGUUAUUAGGGAAGAACAGAUGUGUAAGUAACUGUGCACAUCUUGACGGUACCUAAUCAGAAAGCCACGGCUAACUACGUG
rnacentral:rRNA from 1 species